AGAAUCAACGCUGGCGGCGUGCCUAACACAUGCAAGUCGCACGAGAAAGGGACUUCGGUCCUGAGUACAGUGGCGCACGGGUGAGUAACACGUGAAUAAUCUACCUCCGAGUGGGGAAUAACCUAGAGAAAUCUGGGCUAAUACCGCAUAACACCUACGAGUCAAAGCAGCAAUGCGCUUGGAGAGGAGUUCGCGGCAGAUUAGUUAGUUGGCAGGGUAAUGGCCUACCAAGACGAUGAUCUGUA
rnacentral:rRNA from 1 species